GAGCGAUCAUAAGGGAGCUGACUGCAAAUCUGCCGUCAUCGACUUCAAGGUUCGACUCGAGCAAUAGUGAGAGAACGUUGCCGCAGGCAACGCCCCGAAGGGUGAGGAGCUUUAGCUCCGAAUAAUCCUUCCCGCUAUAGAA
rnacentral:sRNA from 1 species